AGUGAACAAUUAAACGGCCGCGGUACCCUAACCGUGCAAAGGUAGCGUAAUCACUUGUCUAUUAAUUGUAGACCAGUAUGAAAGGCAAAAUGAGGGCCUAUCUGUCUCUUACAAUAAAUCAAUUAAACUGAUCUCCUAGUAAAAAAGCUAGAAUCUUUACAUAAGACCAGAAGACCCUGUGAAGCUUAAACUAAACUAUUAAACCCUAUAAUAUCUACUUUCGGUUGGGGCGACCUUGGAAAAAAAAAGAACUUCCAAACAUAUAACACACUCAGACAGACCCACAAGUCCAUAAUGACCCAGUAUAACUGACAAUUGAACCAAGUUACUCCAGGGAUAACAGCGCUAUCUUCUUCAAGAGUCCAUAUCAAAAAGAAGGUUUACGACCUCGAUGUUGGAUCAGGACAUCCUAA
rnacentral:rRNA from 1 species